ACGAACGCUGGCGGCGUGCCUAAUACCUGCCAGUAGAACGCACAGUUUAUACCGUAGCUUGCUACACCAUAAACUGUGAGUUGCGAACGGGUGAGUAACGCGUAGGUAACCUGCCUGGUAGCGGGGGAUAACUAUUGGAAACGAUAGCUAAUACCGCAUAAUAUUAAUUAUUGCAUGAUAAUUGAUUGAAAGAUGCAAUUGCAUCACUACCAGAUGGACCUGCGUUGUAUUAGCUAGUAGGUGAGGUAACGGCUCACCUAGGCGACGAUACAUAGCCGACCUGAGAGGGUGAUCGGCCACACUGGGACUGAGACACGGCCCAGACUCCUACGGGAGGCAGCAGUAGGGAAUCUUCGGCAAUGGACGAAAGUCUGACCGAGCAACGCCGCGUGAGUGAAGAAGGGUUUCGGAUCGUAAAGCUCUGUUGUAAGAGAAGAACGGGUGUGAGAGUGGAAAGUUCACACUGUGACGGUAUCUUACCAGAAAGGGACGGCUAACUACGUG
rnacentral:rRNA from 1 species